AGUGAACGCUGGCGGUAGGCCUAACACAUGCCAGUCGAACGGCAGCACAGUAAGAGCUUGCUCUUACGGGUGGCGAGUGGCGGACGGGUGAGGAAUACAUCGGAAUCUACUUUUUCGGGGGGGAUAACGUAGGGAGACUUACUCUAAUACCGCAUACGACCUACGGUUGAAAGCAGUGGAUCUUCGGACCUUGCGCGAUUGAAUGAGCGGAUGUCGGAUUAGCUAGUUGGCGGGGUAAAGGCCCACCAAGGCGACGAUCCGUAGCUGGUCUGAGAGGAUGAUCAGCCACACUGGAACUGAGACACGGUCCAGACUCCUACGGGAGGCAGCAGUGGGGAAUAUUGGACAAUGGGCGCAAGCCUGAUCCAGCCAUACCGCGUGGGUGAAGAAGGCCUUCGGGUUGUAAAGCCCUUUUGUUGGGAAAGAAAAGCAGCAGGUUAAUACCCCGCUGUUCUGACGGUACCCAAAGAAUAAGCACCGGCUAACUUCGUG
rnacentral:rRNA from 1 species